CGAGCACCAAUUAGUGUCCACAUCUCUCAAAAAGAACAUGGAUCUACAACUAUCCAUGAAAGCCCAAUGCAUGGGGGCAACAUCAAUUAGUAGUGGGCCAACACCCUCAAAGGAGGUCAGUAGAACCAAGAGAAGGUCAUGCUUACCAUGUGGUCCACACACUGAGUUUUGUAAAACCUGGUAUGACACCGUAGGUCCAGGUCAGCCUAAUAACCUUGUCCUGACUUCAAUCAGUGCUGUUCUAUCUAGAGCCUUCUGAAGAUGCCUAGACAAUCCUGGGAUGAGUAACAGUCUUUUAUGGAACUGAAAACUGAGUCCUAAUGACCCUGGCACACUGAUGUGUAAACAGCACAAGAGAUAGAACCAGAGCUGAAGACCAUGCAAUCCAGAACAAAGAAAGUCAGAAAUGGCCAUUCCAGAAGUGAUAUCCUUUCUGACCAGGACUUACCUAGAGAAGAUGCUCCAGUUGCUGUGGCCCAUUGCUAGAAAGGUCAGCAUAAGCCUGCAGCCCCCCUGGCAGGAAGCUCAAAAUACACUGCCCAGAACUUACUCAACAUUCCCCAGAAGUGCUGUCUUUGUCCAUCAUUACUUUGAGACGAAAGGCCAGACUCCUUCACUCUAGUCUCUCCACAAUCGACGUUCACCCUCCCAAAACGCUUGCGAAGACGGGAAAACAUGUCUUAGCUUGUAACCGCCAGACUCAGACUGAGAGAAACUAGGGCACUGGUUGUCACUACAACACUGGUGACAUCACAGAGGAUGCCAGAACUCUCUAGGAGACAAUAGAAUGUCCAAGAAGGGACAGCUGAUGUCAUGGGGAGCAGACUUUGCCUCCUGCUAAUGUUCUCCCUGUACUGAGCAUAAGCAGAGGUGCCCUUUCCAGGAGACUUUCCUGGGGCAGAGCCACUGAGCAUCUCCUGCUUCCAAAGCCAAAUUUUCCUCAAGGCUUGAUUAUAAAAACCUUAGUAAUUCUUAUGUAUCUAAAUGAAUGAUUCCUUCCAUAUCUUGCCACAAAAUGUCUCAUCCUAACUCAAAUUGUCCACAUUCACCAAUGUUAGCCAUUAAAACUUCCUGAGAUUUCAUACCAGCUUGAAUAUGCAGUCAAAAGUUCUCUUGUCUCAUUCUGUACAGGUGCUUUAUUUCACAUCAAGAAAUAGUCUGCAUGGUAGGUUACAACAUGGGUGUGUGUUAGGGGAACACUCAUGAAGUCAUGUGCUUAGCAAUCGACAAUUGCCAGAAAAUUCCUUAGUUGAAAGAGUUGAAGUCUUUAUGGUGCUAGGAACAGUGUGGAGACCAGUUGGCAGUGGAAAGUGCAAUAUUGGACUCACCAAUGAAGGGAACCUCAUGCUGCUUGUUGGUGUCUCAUCUCUGCGCCAAUGUCGCCAAAGGAGCACUGCUGACAGGCCUUCUAUCAGAAGCUGAGCUUCUAUCAGAAAAAUAAAAUAGUCAAGAGAUAUAGGGGGUGCAGAUAAAGGUGUAGGACGAGGCUAUACAUAUCACUACGUGGAUAGAGCAAGGACCCAGCACUUGUGCUCUGGGUCAUGGGCUUCCCCACAAACACAAAAGCAUCUGUCACAGUAAAAAAAUGGAUACUGUAUUGAGUGCACACACUAACACUGAUUGAUCAGAUCCAUACCCCAGAUUUUGGGGGCAGAUCCAUGGCCCCAAAUAUCUUCCUCUCAACUUAUACAGCAACAAAUAAGAAAGAAAGAAAAAAGUCAAAACAAAAAGCUCAUGCUUCUCAUAUGAGGAUUGCAGGAAGUGUGAUCUGGUGGUCAGUUCUGAUUAGGCCAUUUUAGAUAGAACAGUGCACAGUGAUGCUUAAUGUGAUGGGUCCUAUAUAAAGCUUUCUGCAAUAUUGGAAUUUUAACAAGCCUCAUCCAGAACAUACAAAACAGGAAAGGAUGUGAUCACCAUGUCCUUGCUCUCUAUCAGGUUAUUUUUCUGUGUCCGUGAUUGUCAGGCAUAGACAGCAACAAUCUGAAAUAGCUGGUAGACAUGGAACAAAGUGGCUAAAACUGUAGUUGUGGGUUACACACCUCAACUGUCAAAGGCUAAUGCUGUCCUCACAGUCCCUGGAGGCCACUCUUGUAAGACUGUCUACUGGAAAGUAGAAGCAGGUUUAUCUGAGCUCAAAGUGAACCUGGCCAGCUAGGAAGAGGGCAACAUGGGAUAGUUGAGACCCUGUCUAAACCAGCACAGAAACCCACACUUCCUUCAAAGCAUCAUCUAUGAAUUCUUGAUUAUCUACCAUUCUCUCCCUACCAGUCUUUCAGACUGGAAUUGUAGAAAAGAACUGGAAAUGAUCUUCCUAUUCUGAAGACCUUGAUCUCUCUUUCCUUAGGUGCACAUUAAGAACUCAUGCAAAUGGGUAUGACCAUCUGAACAUCUUAGUAUCAUCUACUCAGUAUAUCCAGCAUAAUACAGUGCCUAUGGCAAUCAUCAAGCUUCCUUGAGUUUUGCUGACCCAGCAAGAAGUAUGAAGUACUGAGGUCAAACCCCAGUGAUCCUUUCAAGGGUUUAGAAGAAAGCCAUCAGAGAAACUCCAAUUCUUUGUCCUUAGAUUAAAUCAAGCUGAUACAAUGUGAACCUGGUGGGCUAUUUAACCAUGCAUCUUUCUGCCAACCCCACCUUUCUGAGUUCAGUCCAUGUGACCCUGCAUGCGGAGAAUGCAUAGAGUGUACAUAGACCACAGUGAGUCCUAAAGAGGACAACAAGCCUGGAAUCCAGUGUCACUGCAAGGAGUUUGGUCUUCGCUUAAGAGACCUCCUCAGUGGGUUUCAGUUCUCCCUCUACUCUAUAGAGACCAAGAGAUGUAAGCAGCCAGCUGUUCCCUAUGCCUGCUGACCCACGCAAUAAAUGCAGUAAAUUUUAAUUUCUGUUCAAUUGUUCAGUAACUUACAUACACUUGCAUAUUGCUGUGGAAGUGAUGGGGUUUCGUGAUCAGCAUUGCAUUUAACAAUGCAUAACCAAUCAUCCCUCCUAGAAUGAUUCUGUAUAUAGAGAAAAAAAAUUUAUUAGAAUGGCUUAUAGGCUGUGGUACAGCUAAUUCAACAAGGAAUGGAAGGUCUAAAACGCAGUAGUUACCCCUGUUGAAGCCAAUCCCCCUAGCAUAGCUGUAGCCAUUUUGUUCCAUGCCGGCUAGAUAGUUCAUAUUCUUGCUGUAAUAUGUCGCAUAUCAUUGUUGUCUGAAAAUAAUUUAACUCACAGCAGGGUCAGGAAUGAUCACAUAACUUGUGUAUGUUUUUUUUAUCGGUUAUUUUGUUUAUUUGGAUUUCAAAUGUUAACCCCUUUCCAGUUUCCCCUACAAUAACCCUGCAUUCCACCCCCUUCCCCAGCCUCCUCGAGGGUGCUCCCCCACCCACCCAUUCCUGAACCACUGGGAGGAAGUUGUUUAUGUUGUGAGGUUUCUUAAUCUUAAAUUUCAUAAUUAUAAGCUUCAUGUACGACCAAAAAAUUAAAGGUCAAUAUGAGGGCUGCAGAGAUGGCUCCAUGGUUAAGAGCACUGACUGCUCUUCCAGAGGUCCUGAGUUCAAAUCCCAGCAACCACGUGGUGGCUCACAACCAUCUGUAAUGAGACCUGAUGCCCUCUUCUGGUGUGUCUGCAGACAGCUACAGUGUACUUAUAUAUAAAUAAAUAAAUCUUUAAACAGAUAAAAA